UACGGAGGGUGCAAACGUUGCUCGGAAUCAUUGGGCGUAAAGCGCACGUAGGCGGCCUGUUAAGUCGGGUGUGAAAUCCCUCGGCUCAACCGAGGAAGUGCAUUCGAAACUGGCGGGCUUGAAUGUGGAAGAGGGUCGUGGAAUUCCCGGUGUAGAGGUGAAAUUCGUAGAUAUCGGGAGGAACACCAGUGGCGAAGGCGGCGACCUGGGCCAACAUUGACGCUGAGGUGCGAAAGCGUGGGGAGCAAACAGG
rnacentral:rRNA from 1 species